rnacentral:rRNA from 1 species
AGAAGAAGCCCCGGCUAACUUCGUGCCAGCAGCCGCGGUAAUACGAAGGGGGCUAGCGUUGUUCGGAUUUACUGGGCGUAAAGCGCGCGUAGGCGGAUCUUUAAGUCAGGGGUGAAAUGCCGGAGCUCAACUUCGGAACUGCCUUUGAUACUGGAGAUCUUGAGUUCGGGAGAGGUGAGUGGAACUGCGAGUGUAGAGGUGAAAUUCGUAGAUAUUCGCAAGAACACCAGUGGCGAAGGCGGCUCACUGGCCCGAUACUGACGCUGAGGCGCGAAAGCGUGGGGAGCAAACAGGAUUAGAUACCCUGGUAGUCCACGCUGUAAACGAUGGAUGCUAGCCG